CGGGGUGCACCAGGCGCGAAAACUUUACAAUGCUGGCAACAGCGAUAAGGGGACCUCGAGUGCCAGGAUACAAUCUUGGCUGUCGCGAUGCCUAAAAAGCAUUGCAUAGCAAGGGCCGGGCAAGACCGGUGCCAGCCGCCGCGGUAACACCGGCGGCUCGAGUGGUAACCGCUAUUAUUGGGUCUAAAGGGUCUGUAGCCGGCCGGAUAAGUCUUUUGGGAAAUCCAGCUGCUCAACAGUUGGGCUUUCAGAAGAUACUGUUCGGCUCGAGACCGGGAGAGGUGAGAGGUACUUCAGGGGUAGGGGUGAAAUCUUGUAAUCCUUGAAGGACCACCAGUGGCGAAGGCGUCUCACCAGAACGGAUCUGACGGCAAGGGACGAAAGCUAGGGGCACGAACCGGAUUAGAUACCCGGGUAGUCCUAGCCGUAAACGAUACUCGCUAGGUGUCAGCCACGGUGCGACCGUGGUUGGUGCCGUAGGGAAGCCGUGAAGCGAGCCACCUGGGAAGUACGGCCGCAAGGCUGAAACUUAAAGGAAUUGGCGGGGGAGCAAAGGG
rnacentral:rRNA from 1 species